AUGCAGCCAAUUUAUACGGGUCAUCGAUCUUCCUUUCAUGUGCCUGUACUCGCUCUGCUUUUAUUAACUCUGCAUAUUGAUUUUGUCUUAAGUCAAACUGCAUAUAGUUUGAUCAAAUUUGUGGAAAACAACGGCAGAAAUCACAUAUUUGACCUGAGGCCGAAAUCAAAUCACAAACUGACCUGCUUUAAAAAAAAUCACUCUGCUGACCCUUUAGUGUGGCGCCCGACAGCUAGGCGCCGCACCCUACAGUGCAGCGCCCUUCCUUUAGGCAUCGCAGAUCCAGCCAGCGUGGCAGCCCUGGUCCAGUUGCGGCCCCACAGACAGCAGUGCAGCGCCUAA
rnacentral:rRNA from 1 species